rnacentral:rRNA from 1 species
GACGAACGCUGGCGGCGCGCCUAACACAUGCAAGUCGAACGAGCAAAGAGGAGCUUGCUUCUCUGAGCGAGUGGCGAACGGGUGAGUAACGCGUGAGGAACCUGCCUCAAAGAGGGGGACAACAGUUGGAAACGACUGCUAAUACCGCAUAAGCCCACGGGUCGGCAUCGACCAGAGGGAAAAGGAGCAAUCCGCUUUGAGAUGGCCUCGCGUCCGAUUAGCUAGUUGGUGAGGUAACGGCCCACCAAGGCGACGAUCGGUAGCCGGACUGAGAGGUUGAACGGCCACAUUGGGACUGAGACACGGCCCAGACUCCUACGGGAGGCAGCAGUGGGGAAUAUUGCACAAUGGGGGAAACCCUGAUGCAGCGACGCCGCGUGGAGGAAGAAGGUCUUCGGAUUGUAAACUCCUGUUGUUGAGGAAGAUAAUGACGGUACUCAACAAGGAAGUGACGGCUAACUACGUGCCAGCAGCCGCGGU